GAAGAUUUUUCCUCGGAGCCUGAAGUCCAAGAGCAAUAAAAGGAAGAGAAGUGAUCACAUUCGCAAUAGUUUCAGCAACAGUACGAUCACCAUGGCAACUGCAACGGAUGGGCCUGAGGCAACCAGGCCUUUGCUGCCAAACUCUCUGCACUAUUAGGUGGUGUCUUGUUCCAACAGGAAAACUUGCAUGGCUCCGUCUAUGUAAGCCUCCAUGUUGUUUUAUCUCUUCCAAUGCAAAUGGUGAAUGAGGCACCACUUGCACUCCAUGCACACCCUCCAAGGCUGUCUUAGGAUUCACUGGACUCUGGGUACCCAUCUGCAAUUGGGCAAUCAGUCAAUUGAAUAUGACUGACUGCCAGCAUUAAUAUG
rnacentral:misc_RNA from 1 species